rnacentral:rRNA from 1 species
CAGUAGCCACGGUAAUACGAAGGGGGCUAGCGUUGCUCGGAAUCACUGGGCGUAAAGGGUGCGUAGGCGGGUUUUUAAGUCAGAGGUGAAAUCCUGGAGCUCAACUCCAGAACUGCCUUUGAUACUGAAAGUCUUGAGUAUGGGAGAGGUGAGUGGAACUGCGAGUGUAGAGGUGAAAUUCGUAGAUAUUCGCAAGAACACCAGUGGCGAAGGCGGCUCACUGGCCCAUAACUGACGCUGAGGCACGAAAGCGUGGGGAGCAAACAGGAUUAGAUACCCGCGUAGUCCCUGUCUCUUAUAC